UACGGGGGGUGCAAGCGUUAUCCGGAAUCACUGGGUUUAAAGGGUGCGUAGGCGGCUUGAUAAGUCAGAGGUGAAAGCUCACGGCUCAACUGUGGAAUUGCCUUUGAUACUGUCAAGCUUGAAUCGGCGCGAGGCAGGCGGAAUGUGGCAUGUAGCGGUGAAAUGCUUAGAUAUGCCAUAGAACACCGAUUGCGAAGGCAGCCUGCCAGAGCUGAAUUGACGCUGAGUCACGAAAGCGUGGGGAGCGAACAGG
rnacentral:rRNA from 1 species